AGUGGCAGACGGGUGAGUAACAUGUGGGUAUCUACCCUUUGGCCUGGAAUAACACGAGGAAACUUGUGCUAAUACUGGAUAAGUCUUUACAGAGAAAGCUUUAUGCACCGAUGGAUGAGCCUGCACUUGAUUAGUUUGUUGGUAGGGUAAUGGCCUACCAAGACUGUGAUCAAUAGCUGAUUUGAGAGGAUGAUCAGCCACAUUGGGACUGAGACACGGCCCAAACUCCUACGGGAGGCAGCAGUGGGGAAUCUUGCACAAUGGAGGAAACUCUGAUGCAGCGAUGCCGCGUGAGUGAAGAAGGCCCUUGGGUUGUAAAGCUCUUUCGUCGGGGAAGAAAAUGACUGUACCCGAAUAAGAAGGUCCGGCUAACUUCGUGCCAGCAGCCGCGGUAAUACGAAGGGACCUAGCGUAGUUCGGAAUUACUGGGCUUAAAGAGUUCGUAGGUGGUUGAAAAAGUUGGUGGUGAAAUCCCAGAGCUUAACUCUGGAACUGCCAUCAAAACUUUUCAGCUAGAGUUUGAUAGAGGAAAGCAGAAUUUCUAGUGUAGAGGUGAAAUUCGUAGAUAUUAGAAAGAAUACCAAUUGCGAAGGCAGCUUUCUGGAUCAAUACUGACACUGAGGAACGAAAGCAUGGGUAGCGAAGAGGAUUAGAUACCCUCGUAGUCCAUGCCGUAAACGAUGUGUGUUAGACGUUGGAAAUUUAUUUUCAGUGUCGCAGCGAAAGCGAUAAACACACCGCCU
rnacentral:rRNA from 1 species